UAUAGUUUGGGUACUUUGAUAUUUUAUGUACAGUAUAUAAUACAUAAUUUGGGUUCUUUGAUAUUUUAUCUACAGUAUAUAAUACAUACUUUGGGUACUUUGAUAUUUUAUGUACAGUAUACAAUACAUACUUUGGGUACUUUGAUAUUUUCUGUACAGUAUGUUAUACAUACUUUGGGUACUUUGAUAUUUUAUGUACAGUAUAUAAUAUAUAGUUUGGGUACUUUGAUAUAUUUUGUACAGCAUAUAAUACAUACUUUGGGUACUUUGAUAUUUUAUGUACAGUAUAUAAUACAUACUUUAGGUACUUCGAUAUUUUAUGUACAGUACACUAUAUAUAGUUGGGUACGU
rnacentral:lncRNA from 1 species